UACGUAGGGGGCAAGCGUUGUCCGGAUUUAUUGGGCGUAAAGAGCGUGUAGGCGGCCGUACAGGUCAGCUGUGAAACUCGAGGCUCAACCUCGAGACGUCGGUUGAAACCGUACGGCUAGAGUCCGGAAGAGGAGAGUGGAAUUCCCGGUGUAGCGGUGAAAUGCGCAGAUAUCGGGAAGAACACCCGUGGCGAAGGCGGCUCUCUGGGACGGUACUGACGCUGAGACGCGAAAGCGUGGGAGCAACAGG
rnacentral:rRNA from 1 species